UACAGGGGGUGCAAACGUUGCUCGGAAUUACUGGGCGUAAAGGGCUCGUAGGCGGCCAACUAAGUCGGACGUGAAAUCCCUCGGCUUAACCGGGGAACUGCGUCCGAUACUGGAUGGCUUGAGUUCGGGAGAGGGAUGCGGAAUUCCAGGUGUAGCGGUGAAAUGCGUAGAUAUCUGGAGGAACACCGGUGGCGAAGGCGGCAUCCUGGACCGACACUGACGCUGAGGAGCGAAAGCCAGGGGAGCAAACGGG
rnacentral:rRNA from 1 species